UGUAACUUUGCAGUUAGCCCCCGAUCGACCGGCUCUGUCUUAUUUCGCACCGUGGAAUCAUCGAUACCUUUCUGUCUCGCGACACGGGAGGCGACCUGGCGACGGCGCUGCUACUCCGGUGAUGACCGGAGGCAAUGGAGCAGCUGCGGCCACGGCUGGCAUGGAGAACACGAGGAACGAGCCCGCUCGCAAGGGGCCGAAGCUCCGGCGACCAAACGAUCCUCCUGCCCGCUAUGGUCCGCUUGAGGAGGAAUUCACAGUAGAAAUCAAUUAUAGCGGUUUUUUGUGUGGAUUUGGGGCCGCGAAGAGCUAUGUUGAUGGCAAGCAAGCAAGAUUUGAUGGCUGUGAAGCAGAUACUUGGUCACCUCUGUGGCUGACAGAUUUCAUGGAUCAGCUAGGUUAUCGUGAUCGGGAUAAGUAUACUUUGUACCGGCUUCUCCCCGGAAAGGAUCUCGGAUCAGGACUCCGCAUUAUAGACCGAGAUGUUGACACAAUGCAUAUGAUUGCUGUUGUUCCUAAAUUUCAAUACUUUCAGAUUUUUGUGGACCACAAAGAUAUGAAUUUUGAUGAUGUUGUUGUAAUUGAUGAUGUCGUGAUUGGUGGCUCUCCUAGUUCGAGGAAGUACGAGCAGCAAGUAGUGGCAAGUCUCCAGCUAGGCAGCAACAACAUAGCAAUGGGCAUGAGCUGAGAAGAAGUACGAGGAAGCUUGAAUUGGAAGAAGAAGCACACAAUGGUUCAGAUGAUGACAGUGAUAGUGAAUUGGAUGAAGACUGGGUUGAUUCUGACAAUGAGAUAGCUGCCGAUGAUGAUGAUUUGUUUGAAGAAUGGGUAGAUGAGAAAUUUGAGGCAAAAAAGAAGAAGAAAUCCAAAUGGAAGCAGGACAGUGAUUAUGAUACAGAUGAAGAUUUGGAAGAGCUGCAAGAUUCAGAUGUUGAAGCAGCUGAUUCAGCAGAAGAAGUAGAAAGUCGUGGACAAGCAAGGUAGAAAGAAGAUGAAGAAGAAAGUGAAGUUGAGAAGGUGGAGGCCAGAGAAUAUGAGACAAGUGGAAUUUAGAAUUGGCAUGGUGUUUUUGUCAGUGAUAGAGCUUAGAGGAGCAAUACAAGAAUACAUUGUGCAGCAAAGGGUAGGUGUACACUACAAGAAGAAUGAUUUGCAAAGGAUUAGGGCUUGCUGUGAGCCAAAAUGUCCCUGGUACUUGUAUGCUGCACCCGACAGCAGGUCUAAAGCUUGGACUGUGAAGAAAUAUGCAGGCCAUCACAAUUGUGAAAGAGAUUUCAAGAUAAAGCAGUUCACGGCAAGGUAUUUAGCAGCUCAUUAUGUGGAAAAAUUCAGAUGUGAUGACAAGAUGUCACUGAAGAACUUUGCUAGGAUGAUAUAACAGGAUUUCAACAUGACAGCAAGUAGAAGCAAGCUAGAAAGGGCCAGAAGAAUUGCACUUAAGCAGAUCCAUGGGGAUGAACUGGCACAGUACAAUUUGUUGUGGGAUUUUGCAGCUGAGAUUAGAAGAUCAAAUCUAGGAAGUACAAUGUUUGUCAAUGCAAAUGUUGGAGUGUUUCAGAACUGUUAAUGUCACUCGAUGCAUGCAAGAGGGGCUUUUUGGCAGGUUGUAGGCCCAUUAUAGGCAUUGAUGGGUGCCAUAUUAAGAACAGAUUUGGUGGAGUGAUGCUAGCAGCUGUGGGUGUUGACCCUAAUGAUUGUAUUUAUCCCAUUUCAAUUGCUAUAGUCGAAGUGGAAGAUACUGUCACAUGGAAAUUGUUUCUUAACGCACUAAAAGAUGAUUUAGGCAUAGAAAACACAAGUCCAUGGACAUUUAUGAGUGAUAGGCAGAAGGGUUUGAUCAAUGUUGUCAAUGCAAUAUGGCCUGAAGCUCAACGCAGAUUUUGUGUAAGACAUUUGCACCAAAACUUUGCAAGAAAUGGGUUUCGAGGUGAUAUCUUGAAGAACAAGCUGUGGCAAAUUGCAAGAGCCACAAGACAGUGUGACUGGCAGAUUUACAUGGAUGAGAUGAAAGCAUUGGAUGUUGCAGCAUUUGAGUACUUGGAUGCAAUUGAUCCAAGGCAGUGGUGCAAGGCAUUCUUUGAGGAAUUGCCCAAAUGUGACUUGCUGCUGAACAACAUAUGUGAAGUGUUCAACAUGUUAGUAAAUGUGAAAUUACUUGCAUUUACUUGUUCAACACUAGCUAUAGCAGACCAGUUUAGAUACACACUACUUGCUCUGAAAUUUAUUGCAAUUGUAGGUACAUACUUGAUGCUAGAGAACUACCAAUAGUUACUAGUCUGAAGAAGAUCAAAGAUCAGUUUUAAAAACCGAACCGGAAA